UUCUGUUUGAUCCCGGCGGAGGCUACUGCUAUUGGGAUUCGAUUAAGCCAUGCAAGUUGAAUGAAUUUAGAUUCAUGGCGUACGGCUCAGUAACACGUGGAUAACUUACCCUUAGGACUGGGAUAACUCUGGGAAACUGGGGAUAAUACUGGAUAUUAGGCUAUGCCUGGAAUGGUUUGCCUUUGAAAUGUUUUUUCGCCUAAGGAUAGAUCUGCGGCUGAUUAGGUCGUUGGUGGGGUAAUGGCCCACCAAGCCGAUGAUCGGUACGGGUUGUGAGAGCAAGAGCCCGGAGAUGGAACCUGAGACAAGGUUCCAGACCCUACGGGGUGCAGCACGCGCGAAACCUCCGCAAUGUACGAAAGUGCGACGGGGGGAUCCCAAGUGUCAUGCUUUUUUGUAUGACUUUUCAUUAGUGUAAAAAGCUUUUAGAAUAAGAGCUGGGAAAGACCGUGGGCAGCCGUUGCGGUAACCCCAGCAGCUCGAGUGGGAGCUGUUUUUAUUGGGUCUAAAGCCUUGGUAAUCGGCUUCAGAAGUCAGCCGGGCAAACUUGUACCUCCACCAUCCAUAAUUGCUGGAGAUACCCUCAGCAAUCUAAUCUAGGGACACGACCAAAGGCACUAUCGGGGCGCUGGAUUAAAACUUUACGGUAGGUGCGUAC
rnacentral:rRNA from 1 species